UACGGGGGGGGCAAGCGUUUGUUCGGAAUUACUGGGCGUAAAGGGCUCGUAGGCGGCCAACUAAGUCAGACGUGAAAUCCCCCGGCUUAACCAGGGAACUGCGUCUGAUACUGGAUGGCUUGAGUUUGGGAGAGGGAUGCGGAAUUCCAGGUGUAGCGGUGAAAUGCGUAGAUAUCUGGAGGAACACCGGUGGCGAAGGCGACAUCCUGGACCAACACUGACGCUGAGUGAGCGAAAGCCAGGGGAGCAAACGGG
rnacentral:rRNA from 1 species